GAUGAACGCUAGCGGCAGGCCUACCACAUGCAAGUCGAGGGGUAACUAGAGUGAUAGCAAUAUUACUUUGGCUAGACCGGCGCACGGGUGCGUAACACGUAUGCAACCUACCUUAUACUGGGGAAUAACUUCGAGAAAUUGGCGCUAAUACCCCAUAACAUUGCGAAGAGGCAUCUCUUUGCAACUAAAGCUCCGGCGGUAUAAGAUGGGCAUGCGUCCAAUUAGCUAGUUGGUGAGGUAACGGCUCACCAAGGCUACGAUUGGUAGGGGUUCUGAGAGGAUGAUCCCCCACACUGGUACUGAGACACGGACCAGACUCCUACGGGAGGCAGCAGUGAGGAAUAUUGCGCAAUGGACGAAAGUCUGACGCAGCCAUGCCGCGUGCAGGAUGACGGCCCUAUGGGUUGUAAACUGCUUUUGUACGGGAAUAAACCCUUCUACGUGUAGGAGGCUGAAGGUACCGUAAGAAUAAGCACCGGCUAACUCCGUGCCAGCCGCCGCCGUAACAC
rnacentral:rRNA from 1 species